rnacentral:rRNA from 1 species
CGACGUGGGUAACCUGCCCUAUACACAUGGAUAACAUACUGAAAAGUUUACUAAUACAUGAUAAUAUAUAUUUACGGCAUCGUAGAUAUAUCAAAGUGUUAGCGGUAUAGGAUGGACCCGCGUCUGAUUAGCUAGUUGGUGAGAUAACUGCCCACCAAGGCGACGAUCAGUAGCCGACCUGAGAGGGUGAUCGGCCACAUUGGAACUGAGACACGGUCCAA